CCUACGGGGGGCAGCAGUGAGGAAUAUUGGUCAAUGGGCGCAAGCCUGAACCAGCCAAGUCGCGUGAGGGAUGACGGUCCUAUGGAUUGUAAACCUCUUUUGUCGGGGAGCAAGGCCCGCCACGUGUGGCGGGAAGGAGAGUACCCGAAGAAAAAGCAUCGGCUAACUCCGUGCCAGCAGCCGCGGUAAUACGGAGGAGGCGAGCGUUAUCCGGAUUUAGUGGGUUUAAAGGGUGCGUAGGCGGAAGGUUAAGUCAGCGGUCAAAUGUCGGUGCUCAACCCCGGCCCGACGUUGAAACUGGCAGUCUCGAGUUGGAGAGAAGUAUGCGGAAUGCGCGGUGUAGCGGUGAAAUGCAUAGAUAUCGCGCAGAACUCCGAUUGCGAAGGCAGCAUGCCGGCUCCACACUGACGCUGAGGCACGAAAGCGUGGGUAGCGAACAGGAUUAGAUACCCCGGUAGUC
rnacentral:rRNA from 1 species